UGGGAUCGCCGCGCGUUCGUACCGCAGCGCCCGGCUCUGACCGCUCGCUUCGCGCUCGCCGGCCGUCUGUGCCCUGACUGCUAUGCCCGCACCAGCAGCGCACUGCUUUGAGAUUUAAUUCCUUGACAUAGAAAUGCAUUAGGAAUCUUAUUUUGCAUCUCCAGAAUUAGCAGACGUGAAGUAACUCCGUGCAGGUGUUGUGUCGGGAUUUCGGUCAGCCUGCGGUUUACUUCAGCACCUGCAUCAAGGCUCUGCCCUGUCCCUUCGUGUCCCAGUCCCAUUCCUGCCCUUUUUCCUGUCACUGCAUCAUUCACGUAGGCGCUGAAAUCUCUAUGAUGAGCCUUAAAUAAGGUUUUCUGGGUGUUGGAACUCUGGGGACAUAGGCCAGAACACGCUUAUAUUCACGUGACGGGGCGUGUGGUCGGCUCCGCUGGGAACAGCUUGUAAGUAUCUAUUCAAAAUCAAUAGAAGCAGGCCUACAUAAAUGCAGUGGAUGGAUCUACUUCAACUCCAAGGGAGAUCUAUAUUCAGAUCACUUCUGACAAGACUUGGAUUUGCAGCAGUUUUGUAGCUGCAGAGGAGCAGACUGAGUUGCCCCUGCAGCAGGAAAACUGAGCAGUGUGGAAGUAAGAAGGAGAAGCCAUCUCAGUGAGAGCUUUGCCUUCAUCCUUGGGGUUGGAGAGCUGUGCUCAGAUUGAGUGGAGACCUCUGGAAUGAAGAUUUACAGCAAGGAUAUCAUUGAAGGAAUGUGUAUUCUACUCAGGUAAGGGAGAAUUGUUCCUCCUGUCAUUUCUUUGUGACAUUCCAAUAGUGUUUGCUUUAUUUAAUGGCUGCACAAAUUACCUCCCAGGGGAAGCUGCACAUUUAAUAAUACUUACGUCCCUUGGCCUAAUUCUCUUCUAUCUUGGUUUUUUGUUAGCCAUCCACCCCUGUGCAUGGUAUAUAUCCACUAUUAGGAGGAGUACAUUUUGGGGAUUCAGUUGCAUUUUUCCUUCAUCCACAAAAAACAUACAGUGACCCAAAGGUCAUGUCAGUGAUAUUGUACUUCUGGCCAAAGCUGUCUACUGGUUUGUCCCACUUACUUGCAGGGGUGACUGGCAUACCUGCAGUGUAGAACUACACAACCCUUCCAGAUGUACACCAGCCCUGCAGGAACAGACAAGUCAUGAUGAAGAAUCCAAAAUCUUACUGGUAGAGGCCACACUGGUAAAACCUAGAGCAGCACUUCCACAGGCACAUCGGUCUUAGGUCCCCAUAAAGGACUUUCGUGUUUGAGAUUUUGUAGGGGACAGAGAGUCCCUUGGUGGAAUUGUGUGGGAGUGAGCAUACGUCAUAGCCAGUGGGUUCCUACUGUGAUCUUUCUGUACUGGAAACAGGCCUCAGACCACAACUCCACUAAAGAAAUCAUCAAGGCACUGAUAACUGCAGAGCUGGUUACACAAAGAAGUUGACUUUGAAAUGUGUGGUGCUGCAAUGUAAUUGCUUCAUAUAAACUAGUAUUCAGGAGCAGUCUCCAGCUGAACACAGGGCUUCUUCCCGAGUCGUUUCUGCUUGGAGAAAAAGAGCGAGGAUGCUUCAGCUGGACACCAGGGUACCUGGUGGAAUUGCUAGGCUGUGGGAUAGCUCCAGUGGCACCCAUGGGGGCAGGCCCUCUCAGGCCCAGAUCUUGAGAUCUGUGAUCUCAAGGAGUGUGAGUCUGGAAAGGAGCAAAGUCAAACCCCUGAAUUUUGCAAGAGCGAACUUCCAGCUCUUUAAGGAGUUGGUGGAGGCCAGCAAUGCAUUGUGUCCCUCAGGACCCUGUCUUGGGACCAGUACUCUUGAACAUCUUCAUCAGUGACACAGACAGUGCGAUCAAGUGCACCUUCAUCAUGUUUGCAGAUGACCUGCAGCUGAGCAGUACAGCUGACUCAAAAGAAGGACAGCAUGGGACCUGGACAAAUUCAAGAAGUGGCCCAUAAAAACUUCCUGAAAUUCAACAAAUCCAAGUGCAAAGUGCUGCACCUGGUUGAGAGCAAUCCCAGAUAUAAGCACAGAUUGGGAGAAGUCACUGAGAUCAGUCCUGCAAAGGACUUGGGUAUUCUCAGGGAUGAAAAGCUGGCAUGAGCCAGGAGUGUGUGCUCACAGUCCAGAAAGCUACAUCAAAAGAGCUGUGGCCAGCACAUCAAGGGGGGUGGUUCUCCCCCUCUACCCUGCCCCACGAGGUCACCACCUGAAGUCCUGUGUCCAGCUCUGGGAGCUUCAGUACAAGAAAGAUAUGGAUGUGUUAGAGUGGGUCUAGAGAAUGGCCAUGAAUAUGGUCAGAGGAAUGGAGUACCUCUACUACAAAGACAGGCUGAUGUUCUGCCUCAGCUGGUAGGAGAUAGUCAUAGAUUUGGGGUCCCAGAGGAGGCAGUGUGCUUUGGGCACCUGAAAGCUGCCUCCCUCCCUUGCAGCCCUGCUCUGAGUCCCAAACGGCCUUUAAUGCUGCUUUUCAAUAAAUCUGAAGGCUCAUGGAAGUAACCUUACCAAAGCCUUACUAACAGGACUCUGCAAUGUAUGUCCUACUUGGAAUCCCUAAGUUCUUCUGAGAGAGAAAUGCCACUUAAAAAUUGUUAGUAAUAGGAAAUGCUUGUGUGAGUAUUAUAGGGUUUUGCACUGGCCAAGGUGUGCUGGAUGACAGGAAAAUGGACUGUAUGAGGAUUGUGCAUGGUGAUGAGGUGCUGGGAGAGAGGCAGGGAAGAGGAUGAAGGGCUGGCUUUGAGGCAGGCUCCCUCUUGCAUUCCAUGUUUGUAGGGAGGGAGACUGUAGUGUGGGGCUGUUCCUCAGUGCCAUAAACUGGUCUCAGAUGGAGCUGCCAUGGAGUGCAUCCUCCUCUCCAGCCAGAGCUGUACUGGCCUUGCACAUGCAGGGCUGGCAGGGAGCUGAACUGGCUGAAAGCUAACACUAUGUGUCUUCAGAAAAACAAGCUCCACUACCCAGUCACUGUAUCAUUGCACUGGUGCCAGUGUUAGUGCCAGGGUGGGGGACAGCGAGGGUGGCUGGAGCCCCAAAUUCUACCAGCAGGGUUGUGUCCCAACUCCUUGAAAGACAUCUGGCUCCUGGCUGACUUCUUCCUUCCUUGUCAAUCCAAUGUGCAGUGCAGUGCCAAAGGGGUGCUCAGUUCUCAAAGGCUGCGGGCAUGUUAAUAAAUCAAAUGGCUGAGGGCUUCUUCCUUGGCCCCAAGGGCAGAGGGCACAGCUAAACUCUUCUCAUCCAUCCUUCCUCUUGGGGAAUGGUCACUGGAUUUUUCAUAUCCUCCAAACUGGACUGGACUGUAGUAUGGAAACAAAAUCGUGCUGGAGAGUGCACUGGUAGGAAUUAAAUGGCAUGAGAGGUCAAUGAUGGCUCAGGAGGGUGGAUGCCAGUGCGCAGGAUUCAGCUGCAACACGCCAUGGAGGUAUGGGAGGAGGACCACUGGGAACCACUAGUUGCCACAGGGCAACUUAUCCUGGAGGGUUAUUCAGAGUUCUCUGAGAGGCAGUGCACUCUAUAAGUAUAGAUACCCUUGUGGCCCCAAAAUAAAUAUGGAUCUGUAAAAAUACCGUGCAUUUCAUAGGUGACAGUGCUGUAAGGAACCAUGCCUUUCAGUGUUGUGCAGUGUUUGGAUAGCCCAGAGACGUGAGACAUGCUGCACAGCCUGCUCUGUGAGGGCCUUUGUGGCAAGAUCUUCAAAUGUCCUGGCCUCUCCACGCUGAUAUUUAAAGCCAUCAAGGGCCUAAUUCAACCCACCUCGCAGAGAUUUACACCAAAAGUUGCCCAAACAGAUGCAGAUCCCAGCAUCAUCUGGCACCUAGUGGGUUCAGUCUCUGGAGGGAGCUUCCAUGAGCAGCUUCUGGAAACACCACAGUACUGCUCAGUGUCCCAGCACUCAGCCCCAGCUUGGCCCAGGACUUGGAACAUCUGAGUGGAAGACUGUUUUGAAGACAAGGGUUUAUUUUGGCAUUUUACUACAUAAAUUUGUUGUUUGCUAACAGAUUGGAAUAUGUAUUUGGAGUUUUGCAUAUUCCUUCACACUAGGCUGUAGGAUAGUUUGGAUCCAUCUGGUUAAUCUACUAAUAGAGCUGAGCAAGUGAUAAGGAAUAGGGUGUGCUACAACCAUCUAAGUGCUUCUCUUGCAAGGUCAGCUAUCCCCAUAGCUGGGAAUAAUGUUCAAAUAUAUUGCUUUCACAAAGAAAUAAGCCCUGCUGAGGAAUUGGGAGAACUGUGAACCUGGUCCAGUUUGAUUGUAUCUUGCCAGACCAGUAUGGGUCUAUACCAGACUAUAUUCCACACAUAUCCAUAAUUCACACUACACAAUACUAAAUGCAGUAUUUGCAACAUAGCAAAGCAGAUGAUCUGCAAGAUAUAGCUGCCUAUUUAAAUAGUGUCCUAAAUAUUUAUCCAUAAGAAUUUCCAUGAUGCUUCAGCUGUAGAAAGAGUGGAAAAAUGUGGGCAAAAAAAAAACAAAGAUAAAGGCAAAGUUUGAAAAUCCAGGAUGGAAAACUCAAGGGUCUAGGAUUACAUGCCUACAAUACACUCCCAGCAGUUUAGUCAGGGAUGUUCAGCCUCCCCUGACAGCAGAAAAGACAUUGAACAAUAGGAGAUAUCCCUCAGAAUUUAGAAGCUACAAAAUAUGGAGCAGACUUUGUGUGCCUUAAUAGCAGGUGAAGUUGAAAUUUCACCUGUGCCCAGCCAGCACCAACUUCUGCCAGCACAGGCAGAGCAUGUGACAUGAAAUCUUAUCCCCAGAGUUGUGAGCUGAUAAGCAGAAUAGUUUGUAAACUUCCAGCUACACCUCCUGCAAAUGAUUCAACUCAGGUGAAUGUCUCUGCCUCCAAGGGCAGAAGUGUGGGGCAAACCUGAAGGUGGGUCUCUUUCCCCAUAAGUCUCUCUCCUUUGAUAUUAAUUCAGUUUUCACAUGUGCAAUAGCAGCAGCACAUAUUCUCAGGCUAAGCUUUUCAUGCACACUUUGAAUCGGCACUGUGGCCACGCUGAUGCCUUAAGUUUUAGCUUUCAUAUUUUCUAGAUUCCAAACUGCAUUAGUAUAUAACUCUGAAAUUCAUAUAAAGUGUUAGCAAGUU